rnacentral:rRNA from 1 species
GUGGGGAAUAUUGGACAAUGGGGGAAACCCUGAUCCAGCGACGCCGCGUGGGUGAAGAAGGCCUGCGGGUUGUAAAGCCCUUUCGGUAGGGACGAAAGCUCUCGACCUAACACGUCGGGAGGUUGACUUAACCUACAGAAGAAGCACCGGCUAACUCUGUGCCAGCAGCCGCGGUAAUACAGAGGGUGCGAGCGUUAAUCGGAAUUACUGGGCGUAAAGCGCACGUAGGCGGCUUGGUAUGUCGGGUGUGAAAUCCCCGGGCUCAACCUGGGAACUGCAUCCGAAACUGCCUUGCUCGAGUAUGGGAGAGGGAAGUGGAAUUUCCGGUGUAGCGGUGAAAUGCGUAGAUAUCGGAAGGAACAUCAGUGGCGAAGGCGACUUCCUGGACCAAUACUGACGCUCAGGUGCGAAAGCGUGGGGAGCAAACAGGAUUAGAAACCCCUGUAGUCC